UGGCGGACGGGUGAGUAAUGUCUGGGAAACUGCCCAGUGGACGGGGAUAACUACUGGAAACGGUAGCUAAUACCGCAUAACGUCGCAAGACCAAAGAGGGGGACCUUCGGGCCUCUUGCCAUCGGAUGUGCCCAGAUGGGAUUAGCUAGUAGGUGGGGUAACGGCUCACCUAGGCGACGAUCCCUAGCUGGUCUGAGAGGAUGACCAGCCACACUGGAACUGAGACACGGUCCAG
rnacentral:rRNA from 1 species